CAUCUCCUCUUCAGCGGCUGCCGCGGUCCCUGUUGCCGGAGAGCAGCGGGGAGCGAGGGACGGCGUCGGCAUAGCCGUCGUCGUCGGUGUCGCUGGAGGGGUUUCUUCUCUGAAUCCCGAGGCUGUGGAAGCAGCCGCCCGUUGAGUAGCAUCAUGAUUUCGGCCGCGCAGUUGUUGGAUGAGUUAAUGGGCCGGGACAGGAACUUGGCCCCGGACGAGAAGCGCAGCAACGUGCGGUGGGAUCAUGAGAGCGUUUGUAAAUAUUACCUCUGUGGUUUUUGUCCUGCUGAAUUGUUUACAAAUACCCGUUCAGACUUAGGUCCAUGUGAAAAAAUUCAUGAUGAAAAUCUUCGGAAACAGUAUGAGAAGAGUUCUCGUUUUAUGAAAGUUGGUUAUGAAAGAGAUUUCCUGCGAUAUUUACAGAGCUUACUUGCAGAAGUAGAGCGCAGAAUUCGACGAGGCCAUGCUCGUUUGGCACUAUCUCAAAACCAGCAGUCAUCUGGGGCAGCUGGACCUACUGGCAAAAAUGAAGAGAAGAUUCAAGUUCUAACUGACAAAAUUGAUGUACUUCUGCAACAGAUUGAAGAAUUGGGUUCUGAAGGAAAAGUUGAAGAGGCCCAAGGAAUGAUGAAACUUGUUGAACAAUUAAAAGAAGAAAGAGAAUUACUUAGAUCCACAACAUCAACUAUUGAGAGUUUCGCAGCUCAAGAAAAACAAAUGGAAGUUUGUGAAGUGUGUGGAGCCUUUUUAAUAGUGGGAGAUGCUCAGUCCCGAGUAGAUGAUCACUUGAUGGGAAAACAACACAUGGGCUAUGCCAAAAUUAAAGCCACUGUAGAAGAAUUAAAAGAAAAAUUAAGAAAAAGAACUGAAGAACCUGAACGUGAUGAUCGUUUAAAAAAAGAAAAGCAAGAACGAGAAGAGAGAGAGAAAGAGAGGGAACGAGAAAGGGAAGAGAGGGAAAGAAAGAGAAGAAGAGAAGAGGAAGAAAGGGAAAAAGAGAGAGUUCGUGACAGAGAAAGGCGCAAGAGGAGUCGUUCACGAAGUAGGCACUCAAGUCGAACCUCUGACAGAAGAUGCAGUAGGUCCCGGGACCACAAAAGAUCAAGAAGUAGAGAAAGAAGACGGAGCAGAAGUAGAGAUCGACGGAGAAGCAGAAGCCACGAGAGAUCAGAAAGAAAACGUAGAUCUCGGAGUCGAGACAGGAGAAGAUCAAAAAGUCGGGAUCGAAAAUCAUAUAAACAUAGAAGCAAAAGUCGGGACAGAGAGCAAGAUAGGAAAUCUAAGGAAAAAGACAAAAAGGGAUCCGAUGAUAAAAAAAGUAGUGUGAAGUCCAGUAGUCGAGAAAAACAGAGUGAAGACCUAAAUACUGAAUCGAAGGAAAGUGAUGCUAAGAAUGAGGUCAAUGGGACCAGUGAAGACAUUAAAUCUGAAGUGCAGCGUAAGUAUGUACAGAUGAAGAUGGAACUAAGCCGAGUAAGAAGACAUACAAAAGCAUCUUCUGAAGGAAAAGACAGUGUAGUCCUGCAAAACAUUUUGAGGAUUAUGAUCUGAAGAGUUUCAGAAGAAUUCUGAAGACAGCGUAAAGUGAAGACCGACUUUAAAAUGAGAAAUCACAUCUGUGACAGCAAUAACAGCACAAAUGGGAAACAAACAUCCUACCUGAUAGGCAUCUGCCUUAGCAGAGAUCCAGGGUUGUUCUCAGGAAAAGAUGGAUCUGAAAUCCACUGACGCCCAAUGUUAAACGUGAGGAGACAGGCGCUGGAGCUCCUGGAGCCUCUCUCCCAUCCCCAGGUGGCCCAUGCUCAUCACCACCAGGGGUGAGGCAUUUUCUCGUGAUGUCUGCAUGCCUUAUGAUUUUUCCCACUCUGCUCAUGAGAGCUCCCAGCUUCUAAUCAACUCCUCAUCCUCAGGGCAUGGGGGCAUCUGAAGAUAAGGUUCCAGGUACUAUUUUUUUUUUUCCGGAAUGAUCAACUGCCUGUUAAUUCCCAAAGUACAGCCUGGAUUGAUGUCUCCUGGUCUGACUUUGGGCAAGAUAAUUCACCUUUGUGGCCUUCACAUUCCUCAUCUGUCAAAUGAUUGGGUUAGACCAGAUGGCCUCUGAAAGUACCUUCCGGCUCCAGAUCUCUCAUCCUGGGAACCUAUGACCCUGAUACAUAUUGCUGCAUGUUUCUCCAAGGCUUUUGUUGCUCUUUUCAGCGAUCUUGUAAUGUCCUUGUUUAUUUAUUUAUUUAUUUUUACGAUGUUUGUCUGCUAAGAUCAAGAGACCUCUAACUGUUUCACUAUCCAUUACCUCCAGAUACUAAUCAAAUAUAAGCAUCUGGGUUGCUGUUGGUUGAUUUGGUUUUCUCCCCCAGGCAAUCCUAAUAUUAAAGUUGUUCUCAGCAAACCAGUAAUGUUAAACUAAGCAUUAGACAUGAGGUGGAAUUAGGGUUUGGAGAGUAAGCAAUUAUUAAGCAUCUACUAUGUGCCAGGCACUGUGCUAACUGGAUAUCAUCAAAAUUUAUCAUAUUAUCAUAAUAUUAUCUUUAUUAUAUAUUAUCAGUAUUCUUGAUCGGUAUUUUAACAACCCUGGGAAGUGGGUGAUAAUUAUUACCCCUAUUUUACAGUUGAGGAAACUUAAGACAGAGGUUAAUUGAUUUGCCCAGCACCACAAAGCUAGGGCACUUCUGAUUUGAUUCCCAGCCCAGCAUUCUAGUCACCCAGCUGUCAAGAUCCUGCAGUAACAAAUUAGUGAAUUAAUAAUAACUUAAAAUUGGCAUAUAACAAAUAAAACUGCAAGACGGACAAGCAACCUAUGAUGUGAAAGUGUCUACUAUGACUGCCUCCAUAUUCCAGUUCCAGUGAUUAUUGUCCUUCUCUCUCUGUCUGUCUCUCUUCUCUGCCUCUGUUUCUCUAUCUCUCUUUGUCUCUUUCUCUGCUCUCUGUUUCUCUGUCUCUGUCUGUCUGUCUCUCUUCUCUGCCUCUGUUUCUCUAUCUCUCUUUGUCUCUGUCUUUCUAUCUCUCUUUGUCUCUUUCUCUGCUCUCUGUUUCUCUGUCUCUGUCUCUCUGUUUGUCUGUCUCUCUAUCUCUCUUUGUCUCUUUCUCUGCUCUCUGUUUCUCUGUCUCUGUCUCUCUGUUUGUCUGUCUCUCUUCUCUGCCUCUGUUUCUCUAUCUCUCUUUGUCUCUGUCUCUCUUUGCCUCUUUCUCUGUCUGUAUCUCUGUCUGUCUCCGUCUGUUUCUCUGUCUCUGUCUGUCUUCUCUGUCUCUGUCUGUCUCUCUGUCUCUCUUCUCUGCCUCUGUUUCUCUAUCUCUCUUUGUCUCUUUCUCUACUCUCUGUUUGUCUGUCUCUCUUCUCUGCCUCUGUUUCUCUAUCUCUCUUUGUCUCUGUCUUUCUAUCUCUCUUUGUCUCUUUCUCUGUCUCUGUUUCUCUGUCUCUCUGUUUGUCUCUCUUCUCUGCCUCUGUUUCUCUAUCUCUCUUUGUCUCUGUCUCUCUUUGCCUCUUUCUCUGUCUGUAUCUCUGUCUGUCUCCAUCUGUUUCUCUGUCUCUGUCUCUCUUCUCUGUCUCUGUCUGUCUCUUGUCUCUCUUCUCUGCCUCUGUCUGUUUCUCUGUCUCUCUCUGUCUCUCUUCUCUGUCUGUGUCUGUUUCUCUAUCUCUCUUCUCUGUCUCUGUCUCUUUCUCUCUUUGCCUCUUUCUCUCUCUGUAUCUGUCUGUCUUCUCUCUCUCUGUCUGUCUCUGUCUCUUUCCCUGAGACAAUUGGGGUUAGGUGACUUGUCCAGGGUCACACAGCCGGGCAGUGUCAAGUGUCUGAGGCCAGAUUUGAACUCAGGUCCUCCUGAUGUUAGGGCCGCUGCUCUACCCAAUGCGCCACCUGGCUGCCCCUUGUCCUUCCUUCUCAAAGAGGACCAAAGGGACAUCACUCUGCUGGAGUCAGGGUAGAGUGUGUCUAACUGGGGCUGACCAGCCAACAGGAGCUUGGAAGGCUCUACCACAGGUCGGAGACAGUCCCCAUGGACAUAGUUCGCUGAGUUAGUAUGUGAAUAGGUGAACGACGGCCCAUGCUUAGCUUAAUAAAUUAAGCGGCAUCAGGGAUGUGCUCUUUGUCCUCGGAAUCCUGUGAAGGACAGCUGGCUGCUCAUCAUCCUUGGAGGAAAAGCUCCCACACAGAUGACUUAUGGGAGGCGGGGCUGCUGGUGGGGAGGGGGUGUCUCCCUGGGGCCCUCGGGAAUAUGGCAAUCCCCGCCCCUUCCGGUGGCAGGGGGAGAAGGAUGACUGGUUCUGUGGGAGGGUUAUGGCUGAUGGCGGGGCAGCCCAAGUCCUGAACGGCCGUCCUCACGCUGUCCUAGCCCCCGUCGCCCGAUUACUACAGCGGCUUCCUACUCUCCUGCUCCCCAGUCCAUCCGCCACUCAGCUGCACGGGUCUAAGCAUGCCAUAGUCGCUCCCAUUACCUUAGAUCCAAUAUAAAGUCCUCUGUCCAAAGUGUCAGCAGCAUUAAGCACCUACUGAAUUCCAGACACUAGGCUAAGAGGUGGAGGUAGGGUGCAAAAAAGCAAAAAGAAAUCCCUGUUCUCAAGAAACCGAGUCCAGUCGGGGAGAUAACUUGGCCCUUUCCCUCCUUCGGAGUCUUCCCUGUCUUCCCCUUUGUGAUCCCACCAGCGAGCUGCUCUGUUCUGCACACCCACCAUGCUCCAUCUCCCCCCUCCACGGCUUUGCACUGGCUGUGCCCCACGCCUAGGAGGCCCUGGCUCCUCACCUCCACUUCUUGGGUUCCUGCGUUGCUUCCGCCUGCAGACCUUUCUGAUAGCCCCGUUGCUAGUGCAUCCCCUCCUCAAACUGCACUGGAUUCGCGAACAGCUGCAUGGACUAGCGGACAGAGUCAGCCUGAUUACUUCCCAUAAACUCACAUUUGCCUGCAAGUCCCCCUCUGACACAGACUGGCUCUAGCAUCCCAGGCAGCCCUCAGCAGAGGCUUUGUGAGGUCAAUGAUCAAGUAUGAUCAAGCACUUUGCAAACUUUGAAGCGCUAUAUUAAUGGCAGUUAUUAUUAUUAGCCUACAGUCAUCGAGCCUCUAGGCUGGAAAUGACUGCAUUUCCUGAGCCUUUCAUUACACUCCUGCUGAGCUCAAGCAGUGUUUACAAAGAAAUUCCAGGGUGUACGGAUAAAUAACAAUCAGGCUCUCCUUCACUCACCUUUUAAUUUAAUCUACAUUAGUGGCAUUUUCUUCAGUCUGGGCAGUCAACAAGAUAAUAAAUCAAACCCUGAUCUGUAGCUAUUGCAGCUUGUGAAUGAUCACCUGGAAAAUUUAGCAGCCGGUUAGAGCCGGCUCCAGCACACCCCUGGCCCGAAAUAACUCUAAAAAUAGAGUUACCGAGAAGGUACCAGCCUCCGUUGGUAGAAGGAACUCCUCAUCCAGGAGUUCCCUCUGCUGAGAAAUCAUUGAUCCCUAUCUGUCUGUGUUGUCUCCUCCCAUCAUUCCUGCAAUCAGAACGCAGCCUCUCUGAAGGCAGGGACUGUUUCAGUUUUGACUCUGCAUCUUCAGAAUAAAUGUGUGUUUGGUGCAGAGUAAGAGCUUACCAAAUGCUUAUUGGUUGGUUGAUGUUUAGCACCUUGGGUGGAUGCCCUCCUUCCCCCUCCCCUGCAAACUUAUGGAAGAAAAGGAGAAGAAUUGCACAGAAUGGGCUGUGAUCUGCAGGAAUCUGCAAGGAUUAGCUCCUCUUCUAAAAAGCCACAAAUCCAAUUCAAUACACCUGAAUUUUUCUCAUUUUGAGUUAUUUCGUACAUUUAUUUACAAAUGAAUAUUUGUAUAUGUAUAUUUGCCUUUGUCCUUCUUUUGCGUUGCUGUUCUGUCCCAACUACUAUUUGAUUUAUAUUGUGCCCAACUCUUUGUGAUCCCAUUUGGAGUUUUUUUUGUGUGUUUUUUUGGCAAAGAUUCUGAAGUAGUUUGCCAUUUUCUUUUCCAGCUCAUUUAACAGGUGAGGAAAAUAAGGCAAAUAGAAUUAAAUGCCUUGUCCAGGAUCACAUAAGAAGUCUGAUUUGAAAUUAGAAAGCCUAAUCUUCCUGAUUCCAGAUCCUGCACUUUAUGCACUUUAGCUGCCCCUUCAAUUUAUGCUACCUAGUCUAUUAGCAGCCAUGUGGCACAGGAGAUGGAGAAUCAGGCCUUGAGUCCAGAAAAGAAGUCAUGACUUCAAAUCCAUCCACUUGCUCUGUGACUCUAAAUUACUUAACUUUUCCUCAGUUUCCUCAUCUGUAAAAUGAAGAUAAUAACAGCACUUCCCUCUCAGGAUUGUUGCAAGGAUCAGAUGACAUCAAAUGAUAUAUUUAAAGCACUGUGCAAACCCAAAAUUGCAAUGUAAAAUAGCUAUUAUGGUUAUGGAGAAUUCAAUAGAUUAGGGGCUUGCAUCUUAUUUUAAUAACUGGGUUGCCACCAAACAUUCCACAUUAAACCUGGAAGCAGGAAGGGGUUAGAGCCAAUUUGUGUGGGACUGAUGCUGCUACUAGACUCGGGGAUGGAUGUAUUUAUGUAACCCCUCCUGAUCUUUGAAAUCAUAGACUUAGAUCACAAGGAAAUUUAAAGUCUAACUAUUCUCAUUUUUCAGGGGAAGAAAUUGUGGCCCAGAGAGGCAAGUAAUUUGUUUGAGGUCACACAGGUGGGUAUCAAGGAGCAGAAUCAAGGUUUGAAUCCUUAUCCAGAAUGUUUUUCCUCUGUACCAACAACAAGGAUGUUCACAUUUGCCAUCAAUUUUAAUAGGUGGUCCAAGGGUGAGCAUCAUCCCACCAGCCCUAAAUCCAUGAGAAUGGAGCUAUCUGAAGUGAUUCAUUGAUAUUGAAGGUCACCAGUUCCAGGGGUUUAUUUCCUGGUUUUUGACCCUUUACUUUGCUGUGACCUCUGUGUACAUAGACUUGCAAUCCUUGAACACUCCUUGAUGACUUCUGGGCACUCCUCAGGACUGAUCUACUCUUGGUGCUUGGCUUUUCACUUUCUUCUUUUUUUUUUUUUUAAAUUGAAGCUUUUUAUUUUGAUAAUUUUUCACUAUUGACCCUUGCAAAAUUUGUGUUCCAAUUUCUCCCCUUCCCCUAGAUGGCAAGUAAUCCAAUAUAUGUUAAACAUGGUAAAAAUAUAUGUUAAAUCCAAAAUAGGCAUACGUAUUUAUACAAUUAUCUUGUUGUGGCUUCUCACUUUCAAUAUCAGUUAACCCUACAGGCCCUGAUUUCCCACCCUCUAGGAAAUCCAUGACCAUCCAUGUCCUACCGAGACAGCAAAUCCCUCUUGUCAACCUUAAAAAUGGAAAAAUGGAGCAUUCUAGUGGUUUCAUUUGGGAUCAAAAAGCAAAUAUUCAGCUCCAAAAGACUCAUAAUGAAAAAUGCUAUCCAAAGAAAGAAUUAUGGAGUCUGAAUGUAGAUUCAAGUGUACUAUUUUCAUUUUGUUUUCUCGUGGUUUUUCUUUUUUGUUCUGAUUUUUCCUUCACAACACGAGUAAUGUAGAAAUUUUUUUUUUUGUUGUUUUAAAUCAAGGCCUAUGGAAGGUCUGAGUCACUCUUCCACAUGAGGUCUCUUUUCUUAGACUUUCCCUGGAGAAUUCCCUCCCACACCUCCCUUAGGUGUCUAAGAUCAAGCACCAUACUUGGUCUCUGGCUACUUUCUCAGAGCAGCAAAGUGAUGGCAGAUCAAGCCGAGCUGAGUAAGGUGGACACUUUCACAGUUUCUAAUCCAAAGUCUGAAAAUAAAUCCAGCUCCAGUCACCAUUCUCUAUCAUGGGAAACCUUGUGAUUUUGAUAAGCUCUAAUGCAGCUUAGAAUUGUGUGGAGGUUUACUGACUCUCCAGCCCUGAUAAUCUCCUCAAGUCUCUACAGGAAUGUGGCAGUGUCAGGCAGGCAGGGGGGCUGCCUAAUCCCAUUCCUCCCAGAAAAAAAAUUUACAAACAAAGUGGGGGAGAGGGAGUAAUGGGAAUGGGGACAGUAGUUUGUUGUUGUUUUUCUCCUGGUACUAAAGGUCCCCCUCUUAACACUGAAAUUUCCCAGAUUCUCCCUGAGAGGCCAUCCCCAAAGUUGGAGUGUGUGAGGGAACAACCCAGGAAACAGAUCUGGGUCCACCUCCUGACUGCUGGUCACCUCUUAUCCUUGUAGAUGACAAGGUCUCAUUGUUUGAAAAUUGAACGGAAUUGUCAGUGACAAUACCACUGAACCUUAUUUUCCUUGAGUGAUUUCUAGAAUCUCUUCCAGCUUUAAAUAUAAGAGCCUAGGAAUCUCAAAAUCACCCAAGAGUCUAUCCAGUUCAGUCUUUAAAAAAAAAAAAAAGUAUUAAAGGAAGAGAAACAGUACUGAAGGAAGAAGGGAUAGUAGACAGUUUGCUGGUUUCCUCGGCAUAAACUAGCAGUUCUUUAAGGCUAUGUGAGUUGCAAAAGUUUGACACUGCAUUGGGAGAGGCAGUUUUCCUCGCUAGGAACUUCUUAAGUCAAUGUAACCACAGCAACAACAACAGAUUGAAAUUUAGGGUUAUUUCAAGGUUUAGCACCCCACAGAAAUGGAAUGAUCAAUGGUGUUCCUAUUCUUCUCAUAGUUAUAUUUUUUAUCUCAAAAAAGAAAAAGGAUUUAUGGCCAUGAUUAAAAACAUGUGUUGAUUUACAUUCAGUCUCUUUGCUGGAUGCAGAUGGAACUUUCUGUCCAAAGUCUAUUGGGUUUGCUGUGGAUCACUGAACCACUGAGAAGAACCAAGUCUUUCAUAGUUGAUCAUCACACAUUCUUGCUAUUAUUCUAUACAAUGUAUUCCUGGUUCUGCUUAUUUCCCUCAGCAUUAGUUUGUGUAAUUCUUUCCAGGCCUUUCUAUAAUUAGCUUGUUCAUCAUUUUUUAUAGAAAAAUAAUAUUCCAUUACGUUCAUAUACCACAAUUUAUUCGGCCAUUCCAAUUGAUAGGCAUCCACUACUUUUCCAAUUCUUUGCUACCACAAAAAGAGCUGCUACAAACAUUUUUUGCACAUGUGGGUCCUUUUCCUUUCUUUAUGAUUUCCUUAGGUUACAGACCCAGUAAUGGCACUGCUGGAUCAAAGAGUAUGCACAGUAGCCUUUUGGGCAUAAUUCCAGAUUGCUCUCCAGAAUGGUUGGAUCAUUUCACAACUCCACCAAUAAUAGUGUCCCAGUUUUCCCAUAUCUCCUCCAACAUUUAUCAUUAUCUUUUCCUGUCAUCUUAGCCAGUAUGACAGAUGAGAGGUGGUAUCUCAGAAUUGUUUUAAUUUGCAUUUUUCUAAUCAAUAAUGAUUUAGACCAUUUUUAAUAUAAUUAUAGGUGGCUUUAAUUUCAUCAUCUGAAAACUGUCUGUUCAUAUCCUUUGACCAUUUAUCAAUUAGGGAAUGACUUGUAUUUUUAUAAAUUUGACAGUUCUUUAUAUAUUUUAGAAAUGAAAUCAGAAAUACUGGCUGUAAAGAUUCCCCCACCUCAGCUUUGUACUUCCCUUUUAAACUUGUUUCUGUUGGCUUUGUUAAAAAAAAAAAAUCUUUUUUUUUCCUUUAUUAAAGCUUUUUAUUUUUCAAAACA